UACUUAUUCGCUUUUGAUAUGUUUGUUGUACGUUGCCACAUUCUAAAAGGUGCAACGUACAAACAAACGUAUUACUAAAGUGAAUAGUA
rnacentral:sRNA from 1 species